rnacentral:rRNA from 1 species
ACUGCUCAGUAACACGUGGACAAUCUGCCCUUGGGUCUGGGAUAACUCCGGGAAACUGGAGAUAAUACCAGAUAGGUCAUAGAUGCUGGAAUGCUCUAUGGCCCAAAGCUCCGGCGCCCAAGGAUGAGUCUGCGGCCUAUCAGGUUGUAGUGGGCGUAAUGGACCCACUAGCCUACGACGGGUACGGGUUGUGAGAGCAAGAGCCCGGAGAUGGAUUCUGAGACAUGAAUCCAGGCCCUACGGGGCGCAGCAGGCGCGAAACCUUUACAAUGCGCGCAAGCGCGAUAAGGGGACCUCGAGUGUUCCUACCUAGUAGGAACUGUCCAGUUGUCUAAAAAACAACUGUUAGCAAGAGCCGGGCAAGACCGGUGCCAGCCGCCGCGGUAACACCGGCGGCUCGAGUGGUGACCGCUUUUAUUGGGUCUAAAGGGUCUGUAGCCGGUCUAACAAGUUCUUUUGAAAAUCUGGUCGCUUAACGAUCAGGCUGCUAGGGGAUACUGUUAAGCUUGGGACCGGGAGAGGCUAGAGGUACUUUAGGGGUAGGGGUGAAAUCCUGUGAUCCUUAAAGGACCACCAGUGGCGAAGGCGUCUAGCUAGAACGGAUCCGACGGUGAGGGACGAAAGCUGGGGGCACGAACCGGAUUAGAUACCCGGGUAGUCCCAGCCGUAAACGAUGCGAGCUAGGUGUCAGUUUUACUGCGAGUAAAAUUGGUGCCGUAGGGAAGCCGUGAAGCUCGCCACCUGGGAAGUACGGCCGCAAGGCUGAAACUUAAAGGAAUUGGCGGGGGAGCACUACAACGGGUGGAGCCUGCGGUUUAAUUGGACUCA